GACGAACGCUGGCGGCGUGCUUAACACAUGCAAGUCGAACGAGUGGCGAACGGGUGAGUAAUACGUGGGUAACCUGCCCUCUUUUUGGGAUCAGCCUUUGAAACGGGGUCUAAUACCGAAUAAAGGGGGAUGGGCUUGCGGCCUAUCAGCUUGUUGGUGGGGUGAUAGCCUACCAAGGCGGUGACGGGUAGCCGGUCUGAGAGGUUGACCGGCCACAUUGAGACUGAGAUACGGCCCAGACUACUACGGGAGGGAACAGUGGGGGAUAUUGCACAAUGGGCGAAAGCGUAAUGCAGCGGCGCCGCGUGGGGGAUGAAGGCUUUCAAGUUGUAAACCUCUUUCGCUAUCGAACAGGUAGGUAGAGAGGAAGCGCCGGCUAACUACGUGCCAGCAGCCGCGGUAAUAC
rnacentral:rRNA from 1 species